GCUUUGUUAAACAAGUGCUUGAAGGCAGUAUGCUUGGUAAAAGUCAUCGCCAUUCUCUAAUCUUGAGUACCCAGGGACACGAUACACUGCGGAAGGCUGCAGGGACCUCUGCCCAGGAAAGCCAGGCUUGCAUGAAGGAAAUGAUUUCCUAUGAUUCUGCUUACUGCUUAAAAAAAUUAAUCAAGUUUUCUGCCUGACAAGUGGUUUCCAAAAGGAAAAGCUUUGGGAGAUAGAAGUCCUCGUUUUGACCUCUGCCCUCCUUGUACACCAGGAGCCAGAAAAACUUCAUCUCUUUUACAAGAAACAUUGAGAUUCCUGUAAAAUUAAGAAAUCACACAAUUUGAUGGUCUACAUUAUCUAAAGCAAAUGAGACUUCUAUUUGGAACAAAGACUACCUUGUUGGGAAAUGAGUCUGCAAGUUAAAGUGUUUUCUGGGAUCACUCUAAGCUCCAGUGUCAAGGAGUCAAGUCCUUCAGGAAUUCUCUGCCUCCACUCCCUGUGGCAGAGCUAGAGUGGCUGCCAUGCUUCUGAGCUCAGCCAGCAUCCAGAGAGAGAGUGAGAUACAGCCUCCUCUUCUUGAAGCACCCACUUCUAAACUCUGUGACAGUUUUCUUGGAACUCUGUUAUGUGGAUCUGGAGAUGACAAUGUCACAGCACUCCCCUCUAAGCCUAAAUUCCCCCACACCGAUGAACUAUUAGGAUCCAGUAUCUGCCGGAGGAGCCCCACCUUCUGCUACUAUUAUGUUCUUCAGAUGAGUAGAAGAGAGUGGGGAGGGAGAGAGCAGGAAGAAGAAAGGAAGAAUAAUGUCUUGAAAUUGUUUUCUAAGGAUAAUGGUCUCCAGCUUCGUCAAUGUUCCUGCAAAGGACAUGAUGCUGACUUUGAAGAUGCAAGCUUCCACAUCUACAGCCUCAAGGAAACAAAUUCAGCCAACCAACUGAGGGAGCUUUCCUUGUCCUGCCUCAAGAUGAGAUCACAGUCUGCCCAACACCAUGAUUUAGGCCUUGUGACACCUGGUAUGGAAGACCCAGUUAAGUUCUCUCCAAACUCUUGACCCACAGAACCUGUGAGAAAAUAUAUGGAUAUUAUUUUAAACUGCUAAAUUUGUAGUAAUUUGUUAUGCAGCAAUAAAAAAAACUAAUGCAAGGAGAUAUCAAUUAUUGUAAAAAGCUUAGCUUUUGUUUUAAAAUAUAGUUCACCAGUAGUAAGUUACUAAUAAGUAACUAAACAAAUAAAAGCAAGCCAUUUACAAAUCAAUAAUAAGAGUAAGUCAUGAACUAAAGAUUGUAAUUAAUCAAUUUCUGUACGCCUGUAAUGAAAAUAAAGGAGGAAAAGAAAAUGAAAGAAAA
ensembl:lncRNA HISLA HIF1A stabilizing long noncoding RNA